UGGGGAAUAUUGCACAAUGGGGGAAACCCUGAUGCAGCGACGCCGCGUGCGGGAUGACGGCCUUCGGGUUGUAAACCGCUUUCAGCAGGGACGAAACAAGACGGUACCUGCAGAAGAAGCGCCGGCUAACUACGUGCCAGCAGCCGCGGUAAUACGUAGGGCGCAAGCGUUGUCCGGAAUUAUUGGGCGUAAAGAGCUCGUAGGCGGUCUGUCGCGUCGGAUGUGAAAGCUCGAGGCUUAACCUCGGGUCUGCAUCCGAUACGGGCAGACUAGAGGCAGGUAGGGGAGAACGGAAUUCCCGGUGUAGCGGUGAAAUGCGCAGAUAUCGGGAGGAACACCGGUGGCGAAGGCGGUUCUCUGGGCCUGUACUGACGCUGAGGAGCGAAAGCGUGGGGAGCGAACAGG
rnacentral:rRNA from 1 species